rnacentral:lncRNA from 1 species
UUUUUUCACCUUCUUAGGACAGACUACCUCAGUAGCAAAAUAUAAGACGUUAGUCAAGUCCAAGUGGGGCCGUUAUGACAGAUGGGGCCUACAUGUUAGUCUAUGCCCAACCCCGUAAAAAAAACCUCCUGUUACUGUCCAUUGCAUCUCUCAUUUGGUUUGACAGUAGCCGGAGUUUUGAACAAAAAAAUGAGCAAGAUGAAAUUUAUUGACAAUACCUGGAGUUCUCAAUAAUUCGUUGUUGAGAUGUUAGGGCAUAUAUCUGUAACGCCGGCCUCUAAAACGGACAUUGUGUUUGUCCACGGACUAGUCCGCGGACAGUGAUACGAAAGUCGGCCAUCCAACCUUGCCCCCUAAAUGUCUGCCUCUGUUUUUAUCAAAUACGCGAGCCCAAAAAUCGCAUAUGAAAUCUUCGAUGAGUGGAAUAUUUAAAUGCGACUGUACUUCUAAUUUAAAUAUUACAACCCAACUAAAAUUUCAAAUUAUAUAGUUCAAUCUUGAAUUCAACCACACAUGUUAUAGUUGUCCCUGGACCGAGGGUAACGGUGGAUGAAAAACGAACGGAUGCAGAAUGACUUCAAAUGGUAAAACUGCAUCCAGACAGCACGGUCCAGAUGUUUGCGGCUAAUUCGAGAGUCUGCUUUGAAGAUGCCCUCCCCUCCCCCCCUCUCCCCUCGUGUUAACGGCCAUAGUACAGUAUAGUAAUAGUAGUAGUAGUAGUAUAAUAACAAUGGGAAUCACUUGCAGAUACGAGAAGCUAUAAACAAGAGGAAACGCGCAGCAGUGACGCGGCCCUGACUGUAAAGCGUGAUCCAAUUCGAAACUAAUCAUGCAGACCAUUCAAAAAACGGCAGCUAGCACACUCGUUGCCGCGGUGGCAUGCAACCUAUCACCUAACCUAACCUAACCUAACCAAACCAAACCAAACCAAACCAACUAUGCGUCCACGUAUGCUAUGAUGGCUAAUACCUUCAUCACAACCUAAUUAAACCGGUCAGGAUAACACUAAUUUUUCCCGCCUCUAUCUAUAAACAAUCGCCGCGCGACGGCACUAUCUACAUAUUUUACCAGGGAGUCGAAUUUGAUUAUUCGUCAAAUCAUCCAUACUUUUGAAUAAUUGAUCUACAUUUUCAAGGCACGAGCACGGCGCACGCAAGCAUGAAUGAACGAAUGGUGCAGUUUUUCUUGGCACUAAAAUAUCUUCUGCGCAAGUGGGCGCAUGCAUAUAUGCGUGUUGUUGUCCUGGAAUUAAGAUCGGAUCAAAGCUGUAAUCUUAUUUCUAAUCCCGCGGUCAAACGGCUUAAACAAGGCAGGAUUCAAUAAUCGCCAUUAUUGAAUCUCUCGAACGGGUGCUGUGCGUGGUGGGAUAAUGACAUGUUUUUCUUCUUCUUCUUCUUCUUCUUGUGAAUGGACAACGACAUGUUUUUCUUCUUCUUCUUCUUCUUCUUGUGAAUGGACAAUGACAUGUUUUCUUCUACUGUGCUAUAUAUUUGUGUGCAUUUUUUCUCCUUUUCCGAGUUUGAACACAGAGAUAUUUAUGGGCCUCGUGUAUCUCAAGCUAUUCACAGAAGAGAGAGAGAGAGAGAGAGAGAGAGAGAGAGGGGAAAAACUGACCGCGUGGAGAUGAAAAAUCCACCAGUCUCUGCAGCUCCUGUACAAUUUUGAUUUUGGUAUAAUUAUUUUUUUACUCUUGCAUGGUUCGAAAAACAAAAGUGCGGCCUUUCUUUAUGCAUUUCUUUACUCGGUUAUGGUUAAAUUUCUACGGAAAAUGAUAAUUCAUUUAUACACAAUACAAACUCAAAAUUUUCAUCCACUCAAACUCAUUGCAUGAGCAAACACGAUCCAAAAACGGUGAAGUGGGAAUGCAAUUGCAGGUGUGAGGGAGGCUAAGGCAAAGGCAUCUUGUGUCUCUCCCCAAGAGGUUUAUACGCCGCUCUUAAGUGAGAGGCGUCAUUCUAAUUAAUAAUGCGUUGAUAACGGGACAAACAACUACACGACCUUCCUUCAUAUUCAAACCAGGGAGUAUAUUCUUCUUAGAAAUUUCCCACCAUAAAAGGAAUUCUUAGAAAACCGGAGGUCGGAAAUCCUGCUUUAUAGACGGGGUUGUUUGGUUCGUAGGUUUUACAUACAAUAAAGUCGCCGUGAUUCUCCACAACAACUCAUUUCCACUAUAUGAAGUCAAAAUUUCCGUCCACUCGAAUUCCUUGGACGGUGCAAACACAACCCUAGAACAAUGAUGAAGCGGGAAUGCCGUUGCAAACUUGGCUUCUUUUCUUUCCUUUGUUAUUAUUAUGUUUUUGGAAUCCUACGAAUGAUUACCAUUUCUCCAGGGCAAGGAUAUAUGCCAAAUCUAGGUUAAAUCUAAUCCGAUCUUAUUGCUAACCUAGCUAGAAAGUUACUGGCCACUUCACCCGCAAAAAAAAAAAAGAAAGUUACUGGCCACUUGAGAAUAAAUAAAUAAACAAACAACGGAGCAAGCCCGAGAGUAGAAAAUAUCGCUGGCGGGCACGUGGAAGGGAAGGGAAGGGAAGGGAAGGCCGUCGUGGGCCGAAAGGAACCGCGGGGAGCCCCGUUAUGCGAAACCAGAGCUCCUCAGGGGCCAGGGUGUAAAAGGGCGGCCGCCACGUCGGACCCACCGACGGGAUAAAUAACGGGCAGAUAGAGAGAGAGAGAGAGAGAGAGAGAGAGAGGGGCAGAGGAGAAAAAUCAAUCCACCGAGCAGAGAGGAGAGGAGCGACCUCCGCCGCGCUGCCUCGGUGUUGACCCCUCCCCCCACGCUGGAUCCCCCCACGGCGGCGGGUGCGUCCUUCGGCGGCGGCGGCGCGUUGUUAUGCCGAGAGGCGCCCAGGUCCGUGCCGUGCCCCGUUCUGUGAUUCGCUCCGACAUGCCGUGGUCUCCUCUGUUCUCGUCCCCUCGCGCGAUUCCGGCCGAUUCAGGCGCGGGGGCACGGUAGGGGCGGCGCGGGAGGGGUUUGGGCGAUUGCCGGGGUGCGGAAUUCGGGUUUAGCCGGUGGGAUUCGCGCGGGUCGUGGUCUGAGAUCCGGGGGGAGGGUUUGGUCGGAUCGGCGCGAGAUUCGCCGGCCUGGGAUUUUGGCACUGCUGGUAGAAUCCCGGGGAGGUUGGCGGGGGCAAUCGGUGCGUGUUUGGCCGGUGAAUUACGCGGGAGAAGAAUCGUGGGGUCUGGUGGUGAUCCUGGGCGUUCACCACUACCGUCCUAGAUUUAGUCGAAUUCGGCUACGUGUUCUGGUUUGCGUGGUAUAUGUUUGAUUGAUUGAUACGAUUCUAGUGUAGCCGUGGGCGGUGGCGGUGGGCGUCCACAAAAGGGCGCGAUGCUAUUGUUGUGGCAAGGAUCGAUUAGACCAAACUGUUGAGGCAGCCCAGCAUACCAUUGUUUCUCUGAAUACAUGUUAUUUAUCAUGGAAGCAUCCCAUUGGGAUGACUUCUUUUCUUACACUUGAUGAUAUGCAUGCGCCUCAUGUUGUGUCAGUCUGCUAAGUUUGGCUCUCAUGUAUUUAGUUACCCCUUCGUCACAUGUUUUCAGCUAUUGGUCUCUUGCUUACGAACAACUUAUGUAUUCUUGCAGGUUUCAACACCAUUCGCCUCUGGGUUUCUAGCAUUCUCAGAAAGGAUAUGGAGCGCACCCUCUAUGCAAGUUCCCCUGUAUCCCACGUCUCGCUGCUUGAGCAAGUUCUUGGCUGGAGAUUUUGUCUUUACGGAGACUUCCUUGUCAUCUCCUUCGUCAAUUGCACCUGAAGAACACACCUGGCUUAGCGACUACCGUGCCUGGUCCCAUGCUACUGGACAUUAGGGCCGACUAGUGAUUGCGGUGCACAUCUAUUCGAGCAUGGUGCGUCUCUUCUCUGGCAACAUUUUCGUAAUUUUUGCCGUGGCACUGGUCAGCCAGCAAAAGUUACCAUCAGAACUUCUUUGGACACUUGGGAUCUAACCCGUAGAUCCUCCUUGUCGGUUACAAGCUCUAGGUAUGCUCUUAUCCGAGAAGCCAGUAGCACAAUAAUUUUCAUGGCACUUCUGUUUUUAUUGUCACUGUCUCAUGCAUCUAGCGCUCUCAGCAGGUUCUGGUUUUCUUUGCUUCUGUCAGCUCUCUUCUCCCCUAUCACUGCGAGUUUUCAGUUUGUCCGGCUUGAUCUUUGGUGUGUAUAGUGUGCACUGUUCUUCAUCAGGCUUCACUUCUGAUGGCGUAACGUGAGGUAUGCUUGAAAGUUUCGAAUUUAAGCGGGACAAUGCAUGACUCAGCCAUGAAGCAUAAUUAGGAAUGUGAACAUGAGCAUUUCUUCCAACGGUCUAAUCCACUUUGUUUAAUUUCAGGGCAAAGGUGUUCAAGUUUAUUUGUCACAAAGUAUGGGUAUUGCUUACAGACGUUUGAAAAAAGCCUGCAGUGACUUUGGUGAUCUACUCUCCAAAGACAUUCCGGCAAUACGCGUAUGAGUCUUGUUUGUGUUUAUAGGACUGUUCAAAAAUAAGGACAGCUUUGCAUUCUAGCUAAUAAAAUGGAGAGGUGAAUUGACUCUUUACCUCUUUUGUAAGAUGAUAAUGAGCUUCCAACACUGUACAUAUUUGUUUAACUUUUCUUAUAUUUGCAAUACAGGUAUAACAUUAUUACGGAAGUGGGUGACGGUACGUUUGGUAGUGUUUGGCGUGCAAUCAAUAAGGAAAGUGGUGAAGUGGUAUGUCACUCUGCUUGCCCAAUAUUUGCAUCUUAUGCAUUACUCUUUGCAGUGGCAACCUUUGUUUAUGUUGUUAUGCCGGACGUUAGCAAGCUUGGGGCUGUUUAUUGUAUUUCUACUAAAUAAUGUGAAACACCUCCUUUCCAGUUUGUAUUGUUACACUCUGAUACAUCUUCACGACUAGCCGAUAUUCUUAUGUUGCCACUGCCAUACCUGGAUUUUCUUUCACCUUAUUGACAUAUAUGCACAUGCCUGUUCUUCGCAGGUUGCAAUCAAGAAAAUGAAGAAAAAAUAUUUUUCUUGGGAGGAGUGCAUCAAUCUCCGUGAAGUGAAGGUAUUUUAUGUUAUGUUACAUAACAUAUCAUGGAGCCAUAUUGCAUCAUGGCUUCCUUCACUUCAUUUGAUUAAAUGUAUGUUUCAACUUCAACAGUCCCUCCGAAGGAUGAACCAUCCAAACAUUGUGAAGCUCAAGGAGGUCAUAAGAGAGAAUGACAUGCUGUUCUUUGUUUUUGAAUACAUGGUACAGACUAUUGAUAUUUUGUUUUGUUUUGUUUUUAUAGUCAGUAUAAGUUGACUAAUGUUUUAUGUGCUCUAUGUGGGGUUGUUAGGAAUGCAAUCUAUAUCAGCUGAUGAAGAGCAAGGGAAAGCCUUUUUCUGAGACUGAAAUCCGGAACUGGUGCUUUCAAGUAUUUCAAGCUCUUAGUCACAUGCAUCAACGUGGAUACUUUCAUCGGGACCUUAAGCCUGGUAUGGCAUAUUCCCUGGACUCUGGAAUUGUUAAUAAUGUUUAUUGUAAUUGGGGAACUAUGUUUAUUUAUAUGGUCUAGUGUUUUAGAGCCUAUACCGAUACUUGAAGAAGUAUAUGAAAGAGCGUUACCAGUAUCAAAACAUCCCUCGUGUUGUGUGUGGUUGAAAAAGAACAGUUUGAGAACAUCUUUUGUUUUUCAUCUUGUCAUAAGCUGUGGUUUCAUGCAAAUUUUAGUUUGAACAACUCAAGAAUCAAGUCUAGUAGCCGUGGAUGGAUAACCAUCCAGUCGGCCAUUGACCGACAAGGCUAACACUGCUAAAAAACAAUUUGAGUGGUUUUAUUGAUCUUCUUUUUAUUGAUUAUGCCUUCCCAUGCUCUUGACAGAAAGUGUGCAGUAAUGACAGAUAAACUUAGGCAUAAUAGGGACACUUGAAAGACUAGUUGUAUAUGACUCUAACAUGUCAGUAAAAAAGGAGUCAACAAUCCUUGUUAGCCUUAUUAAAUGCUACUGUGUUCCGUUUGGAGAUUUCAGAUUGACCUUAUUUAUUGGCAUUAGUAAAUUGACCUUAUUUAUUGGCAUUAGUAAACAAGAACCAUCAUCUUUUGCUCUUUUGACCUGUUGUUAUUUCAGAAAAUCUGCUAGUUACAAAGGAACUCAUCAAGGUAGCUGAUUUUGGGCUUGCUCGUGAGAUUAUUUCUGAACCACCAUACACAGAAUAUGUGUCAACUCGCUGGUAGGCUACUUCAGUCUUAAACAGCUUAAAUCAUACUCCCUCCAUCCCAAAAUAAGUGUCUCAACCUUAGUACAAUUUUGUACUAAAGUUAGUACAAAGUUGAGAGUUGAGACACUUAUUUUGGGACGGAGGGAAUAGUACAUACACAGCACUAAAGCAAGGAUACUAAUGUUUACUGCCAAAUUAGGUAUCGUGCCCCAGAGGUUCUACUUCAAGCUUCUGUUUACAGCUCAGCAGUUGGUGAGUAGAGAAUAUUUGUUCCUUUACAAGAAAGCAAAUUGCUACAAUUUGCAAUGUGCUGAUUCCCUGUUGCUUUUCUAGACAUGUGGGCUAUGGGCGCCAUUAUUGCCGAGCUUUUUUCACACCGACCUCUUUUCCCUGGCUCAAGGUACACAUGAUCCUUUUUCUGCUGAACCUCAUUUGGUUCCCCUAUUCUCUUGGUUGCUGUGCCCAAUUUAAUUGAAUUUUUUUAGUUUGGUCCUAAUGGUUGCUGGGAGCUAAAUAUUAGCCAAAGAUGCUGUUGAUUAUAUAUGAAAUAACCAUCAUCGGCCAUUUUAACAAGUAAAACCAUUUUUUUAGUCUAGAAAGCACCCCAUAAUGUGAAAAAAAUGAUGUGGUGAUUCUGUUGUGGUAUGUUCUUCCAAGUAAUUGCUCAAGUGGGGGCAUUUUUGUAACUUUAUUCUUUGUCCCUCAGUGAAGCGGACGAGAUAUACAAAAUCUGUAGCAUUCUUGGCACACCAAAUCAGCAUACUUGGGCUGCAGGACUGCAGCUGGCAGCAUCUAUCCAUUUUCAGUUUCCUCAGGUAGGAUCUUUUGAUACCCUUACUCUCCAGUUCUGAGAUUAUUAGGAGCCAUUGAUGGCUAAAUGCUGUUUCAUAUUCUCAACAGUCUGGAAGCAUAACUCUUUCAGAAGUGGUUCCCACAGCAAGUGAAGAUGCGCUGAACCUUAUUUCGGUAAGUAUCCUAUCAGCAGUUCCAGUCUUCCCUAAAAGUAGUGGUGAAGUGAUCAUGUUCAGAUAAAUGAUUAGCCUCAACUUUUACAUUUGCUGCAGUGGCUUUGCUCAUGGGACCCCCGUAAAAGGCCAACCGCAGUGGAGGUUUUGCAGCAUCCCUUCUUUCAGGUCAUAAUAUUUCCAAUGUCUUUGCAUGCCAGAUUAGAUUAUGCAUUGAUUUGGUUCGUGAACCUGACCAGAAUUGUUUAUGUCACAGCCAUGCUUCUAUAUCCCCCCUUCACUUCGUUUCAGAUCGACCGGAUAUGCAACAACACCACCAUCAGGUUUGUCGAUUUUCUCACAUGCACAUCUGUAUCAUUUUCAUUAGAAUACCAUUGUUGAAGCAAUUCAAAUAAUGGAUUCUGCAGUUGGGGCUAGAGGGGCUAUGGACCAGAAGAAUGCUAGGAGAUACCCUGUGGGGACUUUAACCAACGGGAGACCGGCAGUCAAUAACUCGUACCUGGGCACUAAUAACGUCCCAGCAAGAGCAGCUGGCGUGCAAAGGAAGCUAGAGCUGGAUCAUCAGGUGAAACCAGAGGGCAACCAUAAGCUGACGAAGGAGAACGCGAUGAACCAGCCUUGGUCCCGACUACCACCAGCACCAGUGAGGAACAACGGUGAGUAUUAUUGUUAGUUCCUAAAUCAUGUAGUGCCGUACUUGGAAUGGCGCCUCCGUUUUGUUUGAAGUCCCGGAUUUUGCGCGUCUCUAAUGCACAUGAUUUCCGUUGUGCAGGGAACUACCUCGCUGCAAAGGAGCAGAUCCCUCGCGGCGGCGUGCCUGACAUAGCCGAGAAGCUGUCCCAGCUGUCGAUGGCCUCCACCACCAACCGGGCGCCGAUCAUGUCUUCGGACAGGUUUGCUGACCUGAAGGGCACUACCAGAGCCCACCAACCGGAGCCCGUGAGGCGGCCCGUGCCUCUGGGACCCAGGGACACGUGGCACGCCCGGAACGACCCCUUCCGGCGCACCUACGAGAUGCCCGGCGAGAGGGCUCUCCUCCAGAGGAAGCUCGUCAGCUGAGGACCAUCCCACCAAUGCCCGCCUGCCUGCCUGCCGUCCAUCUGCCCCCUUCGCAUCAUCGACGCCACCACCACCACCACCACCGACCACAAUAAUCCAGCGGCCUCCUUCCCUGGCGGCCGCUGCCAAGUUUGUGUCUCCCUUUAUCGUUCCGUGUUGUGAUGAAAAUAAAAGCCAGUCUCCCCCGGUCCUGGCGUCGCUUGGAGGGGCGGGGAGAGUGAAGAGUAGUGCUGCGUUUCCUUUGGGCUUUCGAGUGUCGGAAACGUGGAUGAUGAUACAUGCUUUGUGAUUUGUGUGCAAAACCAACGAUUGCUCGCGUUUAUGUGACGUUGUGGUUAAACUAAACUUAUUGAUGAUUUCUUUGCUUGCUCGCAACCUCGCAUGGUUAGACAUGUCCAGCAUCUGCCUGAGUGGUGUUACGCGGUUGCUGCUUCGUGUCCGUAUUUUGUUUACUCAUCAUGUGGGUAUUACUCUAUCUGCCAGACAGACGCUGCGAGAGCUGUCCCUGUCAUGGAUGGCGUAUUAUUUUUCCAGUUGCGAGUACCGACGAGGGCGACGGCGACGGCGACG